rnacentral:rRNA from 1 species
GAUGAACGCUGGCGGCGUGCCUAAUACAUGCAAGUCGAGCGAACAGACGAGGAGCUUGCUCCUCUGACGUUAGCGGCGGACGGGUGAGUAACACGUGGAUAACCUACCUAUAAGACUGGGAUAACUUCGGGAAACCGGAGCUAAUACCGGAUAAUAUAUUGAACCGCAUGGUUCAAUAGUGAAAGACGGUUUUGCUGUCACUUAUAGAUGGAUCCGCGCCGCAUUAGCUAGUUGGUAAGGUAACGGCUUACCAAGGCGACGAUGCGUAGCCGACCUGAGAGGGUGAUCGGCCACACUGGAUCUGAGACACGGUCCCGACUCCUACGGGAGGCAGCAGUAGGGAAUCUUCCGCGAUGCGCGAAUGCCUGACGGAGCAACGCCGCGUGAGUGAUGAAGGUCUUCGGAUCGUAAAACUCUGUUAUUAGGGAAGAACAAAUGUGUAAGUAACUAUGCACGUCUUGACGGUACCUAAUCAGAAAGCCACGGCUAACUACGUG